rnacentral:rRNA from 1 species
AACGUAGGAGGCAAGCGUUAUCCGGAGUUACUGGGCGUAAAGCGCGUGUAGGUGGAUCGGUAAGUUACUUAUAAAAGCUCCUGGCUAAACUAGGAGAGGUUGAGUGAUACUGCCAGUCUUGAAUAGAGGAGAGGUUGACGGAAUUCCGCGUGUAGUGGUGAAAUGCGCAGAUAUCAGGAAGAACACCCGUGGCUAAGGCGGUUCUCUAGUACGGUACUGACGCUGAGACGCGAAAGCGUGGGGAGCGAACAGG